AUUGAACGCUGGCGGCGUGCUUAACACAUGCAAGUCGAGCGGUAACAGGCGUAGCAAUACGUGCUGACGAGCGGCGAACGGGUGAGUAAUGCUUCGGAAUCUUCCUUGUAGUGGGGAAUAACCUGGGGAAACUCAGGCUAAUGCCGCAUACGAACCAUGGUGGAAAGCGAGGGAUCGCAAGACUUCGCGCUAUAAGGUGAGCCGAAGUCGGAUUAGCUAGUUGGUGGGGUAAAGGCCUACCAAGGCGACGAUCCGUAGCUGGUCUGAGAGGACGACCAGCCACACUGGGACUGAGACACGACCCAGACUCCUACGGGAGGCAGCAGUGGGGAAUAUUGGACAAUGGGGGCAACCCUGAUCCAGCGACGCCGCGUGUGUGAAGAAGGCCUGCGGGUUGUAAAGCACUUUUAGUGGGGACAAAAAGCCGAGGGCUAAUACCUUUCGGUCUUGAUUUAACCCAAAGAAAAAGCACCGGCUAACUCUGUGCCAGCCGCCGCGGUAAGAC
rnacentral:rRNA from 1 species